rnacentral:tRNA from 1 species
CGGAAUGUAGUUCAGUUUGGCUAGAACGCUUGAUUUGGGUUCAAGAGGUCGCAAGUUCGAGUCUUGUCAUUCCGACCA